GAGCCGUUCAUGCCAUGACCAUAUUGCCUUUGUCUUCACCAGCUGAGCUUGACAGCUUGUUUCCCAAGUCUCUCACUCUUGAUACUAGCAUGAUCACUAAUGCAACUGGACAAGAAACCCACCCCAGGGGUGCUGCCUAUGGAAUGGGCUUUCCCAGAAAUGGCCACACGACCGAGGGAUGUCGGCUUGCUUGCAUCAGACUGAUCUAGCAAAGGCAAGAGCAACUUUCUCUGAACCUGCCCCACCAGUGACCUUGGACCUGAGCAGAGGGACCACCCUCAACUCUGGAUGUGAGGUAAGUUAAAUUACACGCUGCUGAAUUGUCCUAAUACUGCCAGCAUUUUGGGCAGAAGUUGUAAUAAUGAUAAAAAAGCACCAGUGUAAUGGAUACCAUCAUAACUCUGUAACUACAGUUUAGGUUUUGAAAAUUACAAAUAUGUGUUUAACUAAGGCUAACCAGAAAGUACUAGAUGGUGCUUUAACUGUGGCCAGCUGUCUAGUAUUUAGAAAUUAGAAAAAAAUGUUUUUUCCUUCCAAAGUGGAAAAAUUGCUGUCCGUUUGUACAUAUUGAGCUGGUGACCAUUUGUCCAGCUCUACCAGGAAGCAUCAGGUUAUCUGUUUUAUCAAUAGAUUAUAAAGUACUUUGUAGAACACCUGUACAAAACAUAAGAAAAAAGGACUCUCUAGCCUUCAACUUAGGAUGCACUUCACCUCUCAUAGAUUAGAGACCUCCUUUGAAGUCACUAAAUUUCAUAGUUUUGGGGUUAUUUAUCAAGUCCCAUCAGUUAAUGGGUCAUGGUAAACUUCAUUUUCUUUAGUAAGAAUGAGUUGGGUUUUUUCCUUGAAUUAUAUGUGAGACUUAUUUCAGUGAUAUUUCUUCAACUUAUGCAGGGCAGCUCUGUUCUUUCCAACUCAUGUACCUUUGGCUGUAGAUCUCUCUGUAAAUGUUGAUGAUUAUAAUUCCUUUUUACCCCUACCCUGACUAAGCUUCACACCUGUCCCUUGUUCCACCUCCCUCUCCUUAACUUUCUCAGAUGUGGAACAGCUGGGAACAUGGAAAGAGUAUUUCAGCUGCCAAUGUCUGUGUCAAACAGAAAGGAGAUGUUCUGCCUCCAUAAGCAGCUGUGUUUGUAGAGCUGCUGGCUCCAUGUCAGACAGAGACCUAGUGAAGAAGGUUACGUGGAUGAGAUGGGCAGAUAAAUGCAGAAAAGCAUCUAUGUUAGCAAGCCAAGAAGUGGACGUUAAUGCAGUUUAGAAACGUGUGGGCUUUCCUGAACUCCUCCUAGGCAAAGGGUAUACUGAAAUGGUUGGUGGUUCAGGCUUGACUUUGUUUUUGAUGUCUGGCCAAACACAGUUAGCUGAUAGGCGUGGGUGGCUGAAAGAUUGCUCUCAUUGAAGGGCAUUGACAGAAUGAGCUUUUUUUCUUUUCCUCCUCCCCUAACCCCCAACGAUUUCCCAGAUCUACAGACAAACAACUUACUGAGACAGGGUUAGACAGGAGCUAAAACAGAACCCCACAUCUUGGGUAGAGAUGGGCUUACCUAGGCAGCAGCAGCAGGACUCUCAACAGGCACAAAAGGGUCAGUUGAGGUUGGAUCAGGAGCCUCUCUCUUUAGUGGUGGUUUUGUACUCAGUACUUGCUCUAGAGGCUGCCUCUGCAGCAGCCUUUCUGUAAGGAGACUGGAGGGAGAAGGAGCAGUUCAAAGAACAGGCUGGCCGGCUCUCUGAUAUUGCCACAGCAAAACUCAAGACCCCCUUUCUCUGGACCACCAUCUCCUCUGAAACAGAGGCAGUGUGUUGGCAAGAUGGACUGGAAACACCUGGUUUGAUCUCUUUUCCACGGCAGUCAGUUAUGUUCUAGUGAAAUAGAGAAAACACUCCUACUGGAGCAAGGAGGAGGGAAAAAAUAUGAGCCAACAGGAUUGACCUCUCAGCUGGGAAGCACUGGGCAGAGCUGGAUGGACAGUUGCGCACAUUCAGAGGUGGGGUGUCCAGCAGCAGUUGUGGGGAACUGCAUAAGCCAUGGAGGGGAGGAAUGCAAUUGUAAAUGAGGAAGGGUUUGUUGUGUCUUUGCUCUCUAUGCAACACAAGGUGCACAAGGAAACCACACUGGCUCCACUUGUUUCCAGCUGACUGUGCUUAUUGUACCAGACCGGGCUUCCUAUCUGCUUGGCUGCUGUGGCAGUGGUCUGCAUAGCUUCUCCAGUGCAAGCCAAGGAGGCCCGGUGGGGGGUUCCCGAGCUAUCUAAAGCAAUAUUAUCCAAUUACUCUCCAUGACUACACCAGGGUCAGGACACUUUGACUUUUAUUUCAUCUCCUGGCAAUAACACUAAAAGCCUAAUUUGGCGUCCAUUGAAGUUAAUUAAAAGUUCAUGCUUUGUCAGGCACCCAACAUUAUUAAGAGACCUUGGGCAAAUGUUUCACCUCUUCACACCAUGUUUUACCUGUUUCUUCUGUCUAUGGAGACUAUGUAGAUGUGUACCUGAAAAAGCUGCUUUUUGAUGUUUUGUUAAUAAAUGAAAGUUGUGCUAAACCCUUGGGUGGCAGAGACUCCAGGGAAGAACAAGAAAAUUUUAUUAAUUGGUUAACAAUUUUAUGAAUGGGUUAACCUUAAUAGGUAGCUUUAUCUAUUAAAAUAUUAAGACAGUUUGUGGAAAUAAUUUAAAUUCAUAAUGCAGAAACUUCACAGGAACAACGGAAAGGCUGGCUGGGACCACUGCAAGGUGGCAAUAAUAACUGGGGUGGCCAAAAUGAAGAGUAUCUUCUGCAGUCCUGAGCUCUGUGCAGAGAUCCAGCUUGGCACCCAUGUUGCUGAGGGAUCCUUACUACCAUGUGCUAACAGGGUGCCUUUCAUGGGCUCCUGCAGUCUGCAAUGGGAUAUCCUGAGCCGCGAGGGUCCCAAAGGGGUGGUUUAAUCCUGCAGAGCCACUCUAAGUGUUCAAUGCCAUGUAGUGCAACACUCGCACCUGGAGCUCUUGGUCCCUCUUUCCUUGAACUGACUGAAGUCUUUAAAAUGACAUAAAUACCUGCUUUUGGUGUGGGAGAGAGAUUUUUCUUCUGGUGAGAGGAUGGGAAGCAAAGGUCUACCAGGCAGCAGAACCAGCUGGUUGAGCAUGCAGGCAGGAGGGAGGAGAGGCAGCGGCAGCCUGGGAGACCAGAGACCAUGUUGUCAAGCCACCCCCUAAGGAAACAGUGGCUCCCUGGAACAGCCACCUCUCUUCAGUCUGAAAACACCUACUGAUGGAGGUGCAGGUCUACCUGAAAUGCAACUGUGAAAUAAAAGUGAGACAGGGCUGGUAAUCUGUAAGGAGCAGUCUGGGGUCUCCAGGGAAUUUGGUGAGUUGAUAGCUUGUAGUACUCGGCUGCAGAGGCUCCUCCCCAACACACCAGUCCCUGUGCAUUAGUGCCUUGUGGCCUUCAGCCAGCCCACCCAGUCCUGCCACAAUGACCCCAGGCAGACGGGUAAGCAAAAAGAACCUUGUCUGAAUUUGUCCUGCUCCCUUCCAUGUGGCUGCAAGAUCACAUGCUGUGAAGGUAGAUGAUCAGUCAGAAAUAUGACUGUCGGCAAGGACCUGACAGGUGGAAUUCAGUUGCUUAACCAUGGGCUUCUAGUGCAAUUUUAGAUGUCUCAGAAUGUCCAAGGCCUCUGUGUGCAGCCUGGGAUAUGAUAGAGGACUUCCAGGAGACCCACACCCUUCUGGAAGAGGAUGGAGACCAAGGAGCUGUCACUAACUACCUGGAUUUCAGCAUCUGAACCCCAUCCCAGUGCCAGGUCCAGGGCACCCUAAAGCACCGAGCCCUCCUGGUGGGGAGACACAGGGUGGGUACAGCUGGUAUGGCCAUAUCUAAACUGGUAAUACCCUUCCCUCCCUCCAGUAGGCAAGAGCUGGCUUUAUUCAUACGGGGCUGGAUCCAGUCAUUGUUGUCAACAGGAAUUUCACCACUGAAUUCAGCAGAAUAAAAGCCAGCACAGCUUCAUGCUGAUGGGCUUUAUAACCUUCUGUUGACAAGCCACUGUAAAAGGGAAAAUGAGGUUUAAUCUAACAGAGAUAAUGGGAAAAAUAUAGAAUUGUGUAGACAAAAAAAGCUGUUUUCUGUCAUCUCACCACACUCCUUGGAGAGGAUAAGCAAAAGCAGAUGCUAUCAGUAGAGGAAGGUGCCUAUAAGCAAUGAAGCAAAUCUGGAGAAGAUUGUUCAGUAUUAUCUUACUUAGCUGGAAGAUGGAAAAUGCAGACCAGAAAGCGAUGGGGCAAAGAAACUGAAAAUGUUCAACCAAGAACUGAUGAAAAUGGAAUAACAAUGUAGGCAGAAAGAAAGAUUGAACAAGGAGCUGGGGAGAGUGGAAAGCUUAUGGUUUUGCUUUUCCCUUUCUCAUCUGAUUAAAGUAAUUUCAGCCCAAUGGAUUUACAUCUAAGUGGUUAAGUGACUGCCAGAUAGUAUCACUGUAACUGCUCAGAUGAAAGAAGAGCAUUUGAUAGCUACCUGUAUGUAAAUCAGGUAAGUUAUUUAUAGACCACAGACUCCAGUGUAUGAAUGAGAGGUGCUAUCACUUGGCUGACUCUUAUCAGGGGUAAAAAAAAAAGACCUCGCAGUCUGCCGACAGCUAUGCCCAGGGAGACCUCUGUGUGAAGUACUUCUGAGGGUCUCUUGGGAUCCAUCUUUGUGGAUCUACAGGUAGGAACUAGUAGCAGCAGGCUAGAAAGUUUAAAUCCUAUUAUUUUUCUGUUAUGUAUGAAAAAGCAGAGUUAAACUGAUAUUUUUCCCCCCCAUUCACAGAAAGCAUGUAGAGAAUAUGGUUUAGGAUGACUUAUUGAUGAAGCAGGAAUGUAACAACACUCUUUUAAAUAAUUCUCUAUCGGUCUCCAAUAACUUGAAUCUUUUAAUUAUUUUUUUGUGUAAAUGUACAUAUAACAAACACAGACACAUUUUACAAAAGUAAAAAAUAAUUAAUGGAAUAAUAUAGGAAACCACAUAAUCUGUAUGUCAUAAAUAAACAAAGACCAUCAAUGUGUUGUCAGAGGAAACUCUUAUUGAAGGAACUCAAUUCUAGCAACAAUAUUUGUUGCCCAGUGAAUCUUACCAGAGGCCAACAAGGGUCUGUAACUGAAUCUUCUUAAAAAGGCUGUUGAAAUGAAUUUACUUCAAUAUCAGGGACUUUUUAUGGAAACUGGUGGGAGCUUUAGAUGCAAAACUCUAAAUCAACCUGUUUUGCUCCAUUUGACCGGAGUUUGAGGACUUUAGUCAAAGAGGAGUCUGAAAAAGAAAUCUUAUUGUAUUGACAGGUCCCCAGACUGGGAGGGAGGCUGCAGGCUUGAUUUGACAGGGAAAGAGAGCUACAAAUACUUGUUUUCCUGUCUUUGUAAACAGUGGAUAGGAAAUGGCUAGAAGUCUAAAUGGUUCUCCAUGGUUCUCUGUGCUCACGGCUCAGGUUAAGGUAAUGGGGUUCGCUUUUUCUCCUGAUCAUGAACAUUUGGAAAAGUAUACACAGGUGAGGUAAAUGCAGCGAGGAUAGUGCUCAUUCUGAGAGAGGAUGUCAUAACAACAACAAAAAAGAGAUAAAACAUAGUUAUAACCAAAUUAGCCAUGACUAAUUUACAAUGCUGUGUCAGGGACUAUCAGAUACAGGUAGGUUCAACAAAUCAGCUUCAAACCACAGGUGCCUCAGUAUAGGUUUUAAGUCCCAUAUAUGUGAGAUUAAAGGAAAUUCAAGAAUGUAAUUACAUGCAGUAUGUUAAAGAGUUUACAUGACAUUUUUCUGAAUGAGGAGUUUGUAAAAGCAGGUAUAUUGUAGACUGUUUACAGGCUAAAUAUGAACCUGGCAAUUAUGUUCUGCUAUUUCAUUUCCUUUGCAAUUCCAGUUGCAUACACAAGUUUUCUUCCUCCCUGCCUUCUUUGGUUCUUCGGUACCUGCCAUGCUCCUUGGAAUAUCGUGUAAGCCAGCAUGUCAAUAUAAACAAGCACUGCUUUGUUCUGCAGCUAGCAAAUGUUAUAUGAAACUUAAUUCACACGCAAAUAAGGAGCGCUCAGGUAACUGCAGCCCUGGUUUUGGCUCAUAAAUGCAACAUGCUAAAAUAACAGUAGCAUCCAUGUCCAAAUUUACACUGCACGUAUAUCUUGUCCAGACAAUACGCUUUUAUUCUCCUCUUCCAAUUGCAGUGCAUGGGCUGAAUUGGCUUUCCUGAAGUCAAUGGACCAUUGCCAGUAGUUCUGACCAGAGAAUUUAAUUAAAGACUGAACCUCUUUUUCUCUCUCCCCACCCCAUUUUAUUUUUGUUUGAUUCUUCUACAAUGCUAAUGCAUUAGACCUUCUAUAACACAUCAACCUUAUUUUUUGUUUACAAAAAAGGAAACUCUUGGGGAAAAUUAAAAAGAAAGCCACCAAACAAAUAAACCAACAAUAAAUAUUUGAUAAGUUCUGUGGAUGGGAAACAAUUUUCCACAUGGCCAGAUUUCUGAAGCUCUGCAGAUGCCUUGUGAGAUUGUCAUAAGAGUCAAGAAAGAUUAGCUAUGUGUCAUAUUUAGCUAUGUUAAUGCUUUUUUCUUUUUUUUAAACUUGUCCUUAUUGCCUCAAAAUCUGUGUGUAUAACAAAUAAGAAGUAUGUGCUAAGGUAUUUACAGCAAGGCAUUUUUUAAAUACCAUGCUUUCCUGACUAGAACAUGAAAAUAAAAUAUAUUGGACUUGGUAGAAAGUAAUGUUGUACUUUCCCACUGCCCACCCUUAAAUUUAAAUGAAGGAUUAUAUACAUAAAACUUGAAGUAAAUUGACAAUUGUAUUGGUUCUUCAGCUGGGACUGAGGAAUAGAAAUGCUGAUAUCCUGUAAGAUACCAAGCAAUAUGAUUCAACUAACCGUAAAAUGCCUACACAGCAGAGCAAAUAAUUACUUGUUAAACAGUGGAAGAAAGUCUACUGAUGGAAUGACUUGCAGCUUCUUCAUCUGCAGCUUACGGCCAAUAAAUCUCAUUUAAAAAGUAACACUGGCCACUCAUCCUUUCAGCACGAAGAGACUGUCAUCACCAUCCUAUAUUAUUUCUGGCCUCACAGUAUUUGCACUGUUUACCUAUUAUUAAUCAAGUUAUAUCAUCAUCCAUGACUAAGUUGGUCUGUCAAAAGCCAUUAGGUGGAAUUGUCCCAGGUCACUGUGGUGCUCACUGAUGGAAAUAAAAGCACUUUUCUGUGGGAAGGAAAGAAAGAUGAGAGGGGCAGGUCCACGUGAUGGGGGGCACCUUGUCUGAUUGCAGCUGGUGACAGAUCAGAUGUGCAUCCUCAUAUGAGGCCAUAUGUAGCCCAAGAUGGUUGGAUGCAGUAGGUUAUAACUGCACACUUAAUUGUGUUACAUGUCUUGAAGAGGUAAGAGGCAGCUCAGGAGGGCUGAGCUUUAUCUUCACACUGUCCUUGAUGUUCUCUAUGGCUUGGAGCAAAUUGUGUAGGCUUUGCCUACACUAGCAAGCGCUGAAGCGUAAAAUGAUCAGAUCUGGAGACUGAAACAGCUGAAGGUAAGAAGUUGAUGUUCACUUUUCACGAACACACAAACCCUACAGAUUUAUUUAUUUUUUCGUAAAAAAGUCUAGUCUGAUCUGUAGUACCAAACAUCCAUGAGGCUGGAGCACAUCAGGAGCCCUUUUGGUAUGCAUCUUGAUUUAGUUUCAUCCAGGGUGAAUCCAGCUAUUACUCUGCCCUUUCCACAGUAAAAACCGAAGCACAUUAGGUGGAGACAACCAGGAGAUUAACUAAUGGUACAAACUGAAAUGCCAAUACGGAUAACCCUUUCAUUCUUGCUGUCUCAUAGGGAUAUUCCUACACUAGGUUCAUUUAUAUGUGACCUCUUUAGCUACUAUGAUAAUGACAGUAGAUGUGAUAGCAUAUUCCAUUUCAGCAUUCACUUGACAGUAUGUAAGCAAAGAUUAAAUGAUGUUUAAUAGGUGCAUAAUUAGCAGAGGUUAGACUGUAAAUGAACAAGAAGGAGGUGGUUCUUCACACAAUGGGCAAUUAAGCUGUGGGGUUCCCUUCUACAGGAUAUUGUAGAUACUAAAACUUCACAAGGUUACAAAAGAGGCUCCACAGACUCCCAGAAGUAAAAUUCACGGAGGGAUACGUUUGUCAAAGACUUUUCCUGUGUGUUGGGAACGCUGAGCUGUGAGUUGCUGGAGCACCUGAGAGUGUCCUUGGGAAGAAUCACCAUGUGCUUGCCCCAAGUACCUGGUAUCGGUGGCUGCCAGAGACGGGUUAAUGAAGCAAGACAGACUUCUGAUCUAACAUGUUUCAACAAUUCUUGAAUUGAUUGCUUCUUUCUUUAGAAAGCUUUAGUUUUUUUCAAAUUCACUCAUUCAAAUAAAAUCAUCCA